rnacentral:tmRNA from 1 species
GGGACUGUAAAGGUUUCGACGGGGAUUGUGAGAUAUGAUAAGCGUGGAGGGCUGGCUAAUCCCUUAUAAUGGCUAAACUUAAAUAAUAAACGACAACAAUAAAGUUGCUAUGGCUGCCUAACUAAUUGCUCCUUUGGGAGCGAUUAGCGGCAGUGCUGUGGUCAAUGCACCACCCGUUCCUCUUGGGAGUACCUCGACCUAAGACUGAGCGUAACAUCAGAGGUGAACUUGAAUUGAGAGUUUUGUCUGUAUCAAUCAAGCAUUAAGACAAUACCCGAAUAAAAGCCUGUUAAUCGGCGUUUUGUAGGGGAAAUUCCAAUAGAUUAACUGCCCACGGAGAAAGUUAUGUCAAGUGAUUUUCGGACGCGAGUUCGACUCUCGCCAGUUCCACCA